CCUACGGGGGGCUGCAGUGAGGAAUAUUGGUCAAUGGACGAGAGUCUGAACCAGCCAAGUAGCGUGAAGGAUGACUGCCCUAUGGGUUGUAAACUUCUUUUAUAUGGGAAUAAAAUGAUCCACGUGUGGGAUUUUGUAUGUACCAUAUGAAUAAGGAUCGGCUAAUUCCGUGCCAGCAGCCGCGGUAAUACGGAGGAUCCGGGCGUUAUCCGGAUUUAUUGGGUUUAAAGGGAGCGUAGGUGGACUGUUAAGUCAGUUGUGAAAGGUUGCGGCUCAACCGUAAAAUUGCAGUUGAAACUGGCGGUCUUGAGUACAGUAGAGGUGGGCGGAAUUCGUGGUGUAGCGGUGAAAUGCUUAGAUAUCACGAAGAACUCCGAUUGCGAAGGCAGCUCACUGGACUGCAACUGACACUGAGGCUCGAAAGUGUGGGUAUCAAACAGGAUUAGAUACCCUUGUAGUC
rnacentral:rRNA from 1 species